UGCCCGAGAGGUUGGUAUCUUAAGAUAAAGAACACUUAAAUUAUUUUUAGGCAUAUGUGCCUAUAAUGUGUUUGUAUACACUUGUGAGUGUAGGUCAAAAGAGCAUGUCAGAUUCCCUGGAGUUACAGACAAUUGUGUGAUACGCACUUUGUGCUGGGAACUGUACUUGGGUCCCCUGGAAGAGAAGUAUUUGUUCUUAUCUGCUGGCCAAACUAUCCCUCCAGGCCUGAGGUUGGUAUCUUGUGUCUGUAGAGUGAUUUUUCUUUUUAAAUAACUUGUUUUCGAUAGUAAAACUUUUUUCUUUAUUGCAUUAGGAUAAAUCUCAAACAGGAAGAGCACAAAAGCAUGAAUAACCAUGCACAUAUCAGAGUCUAUAAAUAGACUUUGUGGCUUUCACUCUACAUCUAUGUACUUCGGUGUCCCUCUGCGCAUCCAUCAGUCCCUUCAUUUUUGGAUGCAUUUCAAAAGGCAGUAGGAUCACACCUAGGACCUAACACCUGUUGGGGAUGCUGUGUAACCAGCCACUUCAUACUUCUGCCACCAUUGAUUGCUUCCCCACUGUGAUAGACUGUGCACACUCAAACUGCAAGCCAAAACAAACCCCACCCUCCUUAGCUGCCUUUCCCAGGUAGAAUAAUGAGGAAAGUAAGAAAGUUUCCUGUGAAGCUGGGAAUGAACUUACUAACCAGAAGAGGACAGUGGGCUAUGCAUUAAGAAACCCAGAAAAGACAAUGAAGAUGAGUUACAAGGUCAACUGCAAGGUCAGAAAAUAGAAACUUCUGGCACAAAGUGGCAUGU